rnacentral:rRNA from 1 species
AGGAUGAACGCUGGCGGUCUGCUUAACACAUGCAAGUCGAACGGGCGUAGCAAUACGUUAGUGGCGGACGGGUGAGUAACGCGUGAGAAUCUACCUUCAGGACGGAGACAACAGUUGGAAACGACUGCUAACCCCCGAUGUACCGAAAGGGCAAAUAUUUAUAGCCUGAAGAAGAGCUCGCGUCCGAUUAGCUAGUUGGAGGGGUAAAAGCUCACCAAGGCGACGAUCGGUAGCUGGUCUGAGAGGACGAUCAGCCACACUGGGACUGAGACACGGCCCAGACUCCUACGGGAGGCAGCAGUGGGAAUUUCGCAAUGGGCGAAAGCCUGACGGAGCAAGACCGCGUGGGGGAAGAAGGCUCUUGGGGUUGUAAACCCCCUUUUCUCUGGGAAGAACGCAAUGACGGUACCAGAGGAAUCAGCAUCGGCUAACUCCGUGCCAGCAGCCGC